ACGCUGGCGGCGUGCCUAAUACAUGCAAGUAGGACGCUGAAGAGAGGAGCUUGCUCUUCUUGGAUGAGUUGCGAACGGGUGAGUAACGCGUAGGUAACCUGCCUUGUAGCGGGGGAUAACUAUUGGAAACGAUAGCUAAUACCGCAUAACAAUGGGUGACACAUGUCAUUUAUUUGAAAGGGGCAAUUGCUCCACUACAAGAUGGACCUGCGUUGUAUUAGCUAGUAGGUGAGGUAACGGCUCACCUAGGCGACGAUACAUAGCCGACCUGAGAGGGUGAUCGGCCACACUGGGACUGAGACACGGCCCAGACUCCUACGGGAGGCAGCAGUAGGGAAUCUUCGGCAAUGGGGGCAACCCUGACCGAGCAACGCCGCGUGAGUGAAGAAGGUUUUCGGAUCGUAAAGCUCUGUUGUAAGUCAAGAACGAGUGUGAGAGUGGAAAGUUCACACUGUGACGGUAGCUUACCAGAAAGGGACGGCUAACUACGUGCCAGCAGCCGCGGUAAUACGUAGGUCCCGAGCGUUGUCCGGAUUUAUUGGGCGUAAAGCGAGCGCAGGCGGUUUGAUAAGUCUGAAGUUAAAGGCUGUGGCUCUACCAUAGUUCGCUUUGGAAACUGUCAAACUUGAGUGCAGAAGGGGAGAGUGGAAUUCCAUGUGUAGCGGUGAAAUGCGUAGAUAUAUGGAGGAACACCGGUGGCGAAAGCGGCUCUCUGGUCUGUAACUGACGCUGAGGCUCGAAAGCGUGGGGAGCGAACAGGAUUAGAUACCCUGGUAGUCCACGCCGUAAACGAUGAGUGCUAGGUGUUGGAUCCUUUCCGGGAUUCAGUGCCGCAGCUAACGCAUUAAGCACUCCGCCUGGGGAGUACGACCGCAAGGUUGAAACUCAAAGGAAUUGACGGGGGCCCGCAC
rnacentral:rRNA from 1 species